rnacentral:lncRNA from 1 species
GCUAAGCCACUGGCCAGGAGAUGAUGCUGAAUAGGGAGAGUUCAGGCUUUUGAGACCGCCUGCCCUGAGUAGGAAUCCUGUCCCUGAAAAAUGCUAAGCGUUUGACCCUGCACAGGUUUAAUAACCAGCCUUAGUCUCACCUGAAAAGUAGGAAUAACAAUAAUCACCUUGAAAAUAUGUGUCAGGAUUAAGGGAGUUCACAUCUGUCAAACUUUAGCACGAAGAGGCAUUCAUUUCAUAUUCAUUGAUAUAAUAUGAAUGGUACCAUAUUCAUUCUUACUAUUUCAUCCAAAUGAGAAGAGAACUUUCAGAGAGAAUGGAAUAGAAGAAGUCAAGAUUGGACAGGACAUGAGUUAGGAGAGAGGGUGAUGGCUUGGACCAAGGUGAUGGUCCUGGAGACAAAGAGAAAUUUGCAGCUUUCAGAUGUGUUUUUACAUGGAAGGAAGAACUGACCAGACAUGCUGAUGGGCUGAACAAGAGGAAUCCAGCCUAAGGAGACAGUCAGAAGUGCUCACCAAGAUUCAGAGGUUCUUCAUUGCCUUACCAUAUUUGUAAGUCACAAACUGGAAGCUACCACAGGGUCCAGCCUUAUGAGAGUGGUGCAGUCAAUCCCAGAUCUUCCAUAUGACAGGGAGCUGGUCAUCCUUCAAAGUGCUGCUUACUAAGAUGACAAUGAGACUGGAAAAUUCUCAUUAAAUAAACAAAUGGCUGGGUAAGUGCUUACUGCAUGGUGUAUUCAUGUUAGUAGAGAAAUAUCUACAAAAUACGCUCGUGGUAAACUCUAUAAAUCAUGAAAAUGUAAAACUGCAAGAAAUCUCAAGGUCAUCGUUUCAAAAUGCAUGCUAUAGUUGAGCAAAAGAAAAAAUCA